AUUGAACGCUGGCGGCAGGCCUAACACAUGCAAGUCGAGCGAGAGGCGGACGGGUGAGUAAUGUCUGGGAAACUGCCUGAUGGCGGGGGAUAACUACUGGAAACGGUAGCUAAUACCGCAUCCCAUCAGAUGUGCCCAGAUGGGAUUAGCUAGUAGGUGGGGUAACGGCUCACCUAGGCGACGAUACCUAGCUGGUCUGAGAGGAUGACCAGCAACACGGGAACGGAGACACGGUCCAGACGCCUACGGGAGGAAGCAGUGGGGAAGAUUGCAAAAUGGGCGCAAGCCUACUGCAGCCAUGCCGCGUGGGUGAAGAAGGCCUUCGGGUUGUAAAGCACUUUCAGCGGGGAGGCGUUACCCGCAGAAGAAGCACCGGCUAACUCCGUGCCAGCAGCCGCGGUAAUUC
rnacentral:rRNA from 1 species